rnacentral:rRNA from 1 species
UACGUAGGGUGCGAGCGUUGUCCGGAAUUACUGGGCGUAAAGAGCUCGUAGGUGGUUUGUCGCGUUGUUCGUGAAAACUCACAACUCAAUUGUGGGCGUGCGGGCGAUACGGGCAGACUGGAGUACUGCAAGGGAGACUGGAAUUCCUGGUGUAGCGGUGGAAUGCGCAGAUAUCAGGAGGAACACCGGUGGCGAAGGCGGGUCUCUGGGCAGUAACUGACGCUGAGACGCGAAAGCGUGGGGAGCGAACAGG